rnacentral:rRNA from 1 species
CCUACGGGUGGCAGCAGUGAGGAAUAUUGGUCAAUGGCCGGAAGGCUGAACCAGCCAAGUCGCGUGAGGGAAGACGGCCCUACGGGUUGUAAACCUCUUUUGUCAGGGAGCAAGGUGCAGGUCGGGACCUGCUUUGAGAGUAGCUUACGAAAAGGCAUCGGCUAACUCCGUGCCAGCAGCCGCGGUAAUACGGAGGAUGCGUGGGUGAUCCGGAUUUAUGGGGUUGAAGGGGGGCGCAGGCGGAGGCACCAGUCAGCGGUAAAGUCGCGGGGCUCAACCCCGCUCCGCCGUUGAAACUGUGUCUCUUGAGUGCGCGAAGGGUAGGCGGAAUGCGUGGUGUAGCGGUGAAAUGCAUAGAUAUCACGAAGAACUCCGAUCGCGAAGGCAGACUACUGGCGCGCAACUGACGGUCAUGCACGAAAGCGUGGGUAUCGAACAGGAUUAGAUACCCUAGUAGUC